CCUUGCUGCCAAGUGGAGAAAGUGCAGCGAUUGGCCACACGUCCCCUCUCGCGCACCGUGUGGAAGCCCUCUGGCAGAGCCCCCAGCCCUGACCAGAGGCCCCAGUAUGUCACUGGGCUGCCGGCCAUUGGGGCAAGAGAGAAGGGAUGCGGUCUGAGAUGAUGACGCCCCUCUGUACGAUGGUUGAUUCCCUCACUGGCAGCCCCUCAGUCCUGCACUGAUCCAUACGCUGCAGCUCUGAGGAAGAAUCAGAAAAGCACCAUACUGAGCAGCACUGAGUUCCAGGGUCAGAGGUAUUCUACACAGAGCUGCUGUUUUCCACAUGAAACCUGGAUAUGAUAUUGUGUUCAGGAUCACACACUGCAAAUUUCCUACAAAGAGCUCUGGGAUGGAGGAAAUCCUAGUCAUGCCUUGCCUCAAUCCGUACAGAUGCACUAAGGUUAACUUCAAUUACUGCUGUAUUAUGUUGAAUAAUGAAGUCUUUGUAACAUCAUUAUAUAUGCAUGCAUUAUACCU